AUUGAACGCUGGCGGCAUGCCUUACACAUGCAAGUCGAACGGCAGCACGGGAGCAAUCCUGGUGGCGAGUGGCGAACGGGUGAGUAAUAUAUCGGAACGUGCCCAGUCGUGGGGGAUAACGUAGCGAAAGCUACGCUAAUACCGCAUACGAUCUAUGGAUGAAAGCGGGGGAUCGCAAGACCCCGCGCGAUUGGAGCGGCCGAUAUCAGAUUAGGUAGUUGGUGAGGUAAAGGCUCACCAAGCCGACGAUCUGUAGCUGGUCUGAGAGGACGACCAGCCACACUGGGACUGAGACACGGCCCAGACUCCUACGGGAGGCAGCAGUGGGGAAUUUUGGACAAUGGGCGCAAGCCUGAUCCAGCAAUGCCGCGUGCAGGAUGAAGGCCUUCGGGUUGUAAACUGCUUUUGUACGGAACGAAACGGCGAGCUCUAAUACAGUUUGCUAAUGACGGUACCGUAAGAAUAAGCACCGGCUAACUACGUGCCAGCCGCCGCGGUAA
rnacentral:rRNA from 1 species